UACGUAGGCAGCGAGCGUUGUUCGGAAUUACUGGGCGUAAAGAGUGUGUAGGCGGUGCUCCCAGUCUGUUGUGAAAUCUCCCGGCUUAACUGGGAGGGUGCAGCGGAAACUAGAGUGCUAGAGGGUGGGAGAGGUAAGCGGAAUUCCUGGUGUAGCGGUGAAAUGCGUAGAUAUCAGGAGGAACAUCAGUGGCGAAGGCGGCCCUCUGGACCAGCACUGACGCUGAGGCACGAAAGCGUGGGGAGCAAACAGG
rnacentral:rRNA from 1 species